CUCUCCAGCCAGGUUCGAAAUUUCCCCAAGACACCUGAUGAAGGCUGGAGCGUAUAUCAGCCGAAACGUUGUGUUAGCAACAAAAAAGAUGAGAACAGAUAUUCGUCAAAUGUAGAUAAUGUUAACAAUGUAAAUAAUGAUUUCUU